GAUGAACGCUGGCGGCGUGCCUAAUACAUGCAAGUCGAGCGAACGGACGAGAAGCUUGCUUCUCUGAUGUUAGCGGCGGACGGGUGAGUAACACGUGGAUAACCUACCUAUAAGACUGGGAUAACUUCGGGAAACCGGAGCUAAUACCGGAUAAUAUUUUGAACCGCAUGGUUCAAAAGUGAAAGACGGUCUUGCUGUCACUUAUAGAUGGAUCCGCGCUGCAUUAGCUAGUUGGUAAGGUAACGGCUUACCAAGGCAACGAUGCAUAGCCGACCUGAGAGGGUGAUCGGCCACACUGGAACUGAGACACGGUCCAGACUCCUACGGGAGGCAGCAGUAGGGAAUCUUCCGCAAUGGGCGAAAGCCUGACGGAGCAACGCCGCGUGAGUGAUGAAGGUCUUCGGAUCGUAAAACUCUGUUAUUAGGGAAGAACAUAUGUGUAAGUAACUGUGCACAUCUUGACGGUACCUAAUCAGAAAGCCACGGCUAACUACGUGCCAGCAGCCGCGGUAAUACGUAGGUGGCAAGCGUUAUCCGGAAUUAUUGGGCGUAGAGCGCGCGUAGGCGGUUUUUUAAGUCUGAUGUGAAAGCCCACGGCUCAACCGUGGAGGGUCAUUGGAAACUGGAAAACUUGAGUGCAGAAGAGGAAAGUGGAAUUCCAUGUGUAGCGGUGAAAUGCGCAGAGAUAUGGAGGAACACCAGUGGCGAAGGCGACUUUCUGGUCUGUAACUGACGCUGAUGUGCGAAAGCGUGGGGAUCAAACAGG
rnacentral:rRNA from 1 species